AAAGAGUAACAUUGAAUGUAUUGAAGUAGCUCUAUAAUAGUGUUGUGCUCAAAAUAUGUAGAAUUUUAUCGGAAUAUCAAUACAAGGGAAGCAUAUAUAUACUUAACUGAGCGUUAUUAAAGUUGUGGUGAGCUCAAAAAGUAACAAAAACUCUUAUUAAUCCCAGUAAAUACUAAAGCUUGCAUUGCUCAUAUUUCCUAAGGCAAAUGUUCAGCCCCUUUUACACAGGAGUGCACCC